UGGGGAAUAUUGCACAAUGGGCGCAAGCCUGAUGCAGCCAUGCCGCGUGUGUGAAGAAGGCCUUCGGGUUGUAAAGCACUUUCAGCGGGGAGGAAGGCGAUAAGGUUAAUAACCUUGUCGAUUGACGUUACCCGCAGAAGAAGCACCGGCUAACUCCGUGCCAGCAGCCGCGGUAAUACGGAGGGUGCAAGCGUUAAUCGGAAUUACUGGGCGUAAAGCGCACGCAGGCGGUCUGUCAAGUCGGAUGUGAAAUCCCCGGGGUCAACCUGGGAACUGCAUUCGAAACUGGCAGGCUAGAGUCUUGUAGAGGGGGGUAGAAUUCCAGGUGUAGCGGUGAAAUGCGUAGAGAUCUGGAGGAAUACCGGUGGCGAAGGCGGCCCCCUGGACAAAGACUGACGCUCAGGUGCGAAAGCGUGGGGAGCAAACAGG
rnacentral:rRNA from 1 species